GCGAAGGCACGACUAGGUUAAUCCGAGUGAUUUCUGUUGAAGAAAUCUUUUGUCAGUUCUAAAACUACCGAUGAAUAAGGGGUGGGCAAGUCUGGUGUCAGCCGCCGCGGUAAUACCAGCACCUCGAGUGGUCAGGAGGUUUAUUGGGCCUAAAGCAUCCGUAGCCGGCUUUGCAAGUCUCCGGUUAAAUCCAGCUGCCUAACAGAUGGGCUGCCGGAGAUACUACAAAGCUAGGGAGCGGGAGAGGUAGACGGUAUUCGGUGGGUAGGGGUAAAAUCCUCUGAUCCAUUGAGGACCACCAGUGGCGAAGGCGGUCUACCAGAACGCGUUCGACGGUGAGGGAUGAAAGCUGGGGGAGCAAACCGGAUUAGAUACCCGGGUAGUCCCAGCUGUAAACGAUGCAAACUCGGUGAUGCAUUGGCUUAUGGCCAAUGCAGUGCCGCAGGGAAGCCGUUAAGUUUGCCGCCUGGGAAGUACGGUCGCAAGACUGAAACUUAAAGGAAUGGCG
rnacentral:rRNA from 1 species